rnacentral:rRNA from 1 species
AUUGAACGCUGGCGGCAGGCCUAACACAUGCAAGUCGAGCGAGCGGCGGACGGGUGAGUAAUGUCUGGGAAACUGCCUGAUGGAGGGGGAUAACUACUGGAAACGGUAGCUAAUACCGCAUACCAUCAGAUGUGCCCAGAUGGGAUUAGCUAGUAGGUGGGGUAACGGCUCCCCUAGGCGACGAUCACUAGCUGGCCUGAGAGGAUGACGAGCCACACUGGACCUGAGCCACGGUCCAGACUCCUACGGGAGGCAGCGGUGGGGAAUAUUGCACAAUGGGCGAAAGCCUGAUGCAGCCCUGCCGCGUGUGUGAAGAAGGCCUUCGGGUUGUAAAGCACUUUCAGCGGGAAGGCGUUACCCGCAGAAGAAGCACCGGCUAACUCCGUGCCAGCAGCCGCGGUAAUUC